AUUGAACGCUGGCGGCAGGCCUAACACAUGCAAGUCGAGCGAGCGGCGGACGGGUGAGUAAUGUAUGGGGACCUGCCUGAUAGAGGGGGAUAACUACUGGAAACGGUAGCUAAUACCGCAUACUAUCGGAUGUACCCAUAUGGGAUUAGCUAGUAGGUGGGGUAAAGGCUCACCUAGGCGACGAUCUCUAGCGGGUCUGAGAGGAUGAUAAGCCACACGGGAAGUGAGACACGGCCCAGACUCCUACGGGAGGCAGCAGUGGGGAAGAUUGCACAAUGGGCGCGAGCCGGAGGCAGCCAUGCCGCGUGUAUGAAGAAGGCCUUAGGGUUGUAAAGCACUUUCAGCGAGGAGGCGUUACUCGCAGAAGAAGCACCGGCUAACUCCGUGCCAGCAGCCGCGGUAAUUC
rnacentral:rRNA from 1 species